CCCACUGAACUAAAGCGUAUAAAAGAGCGGAGAAAAGAAAUUUACCAGCAUUUCCACGGUAACUGCUCGUGAAGAGGAGAGAGCUGUGGUCCGAAAUCUACGUCAGAUUUACUGAUAGGCCAUGAGGUGUGUGGGUCGACUUGAGGGACCAUUGUUCCUCCCGACUACCGGCGUUAAGUAUGGAAAACACUAGAUUUGCCUCAUAGAGAGCAAGAGGCCCAUACGGGUGGAGAUUCGAACAUUUGCGAUGGUUUAAAAGUCCGACCUCAGAGUCGGGAUGUUUGAGACUGCAGUUCAAAGAUGUUGGCAAACACCAUCCACGGCUAAAUAUUGCCAAAAGUGCGAAAGCAAACCAGCCCCUUUACUUUGGAAAUUUCAGAGGGUGUCAGAAAAAUUAAAUUUUAAACCAAUACGCCAAAAUUUUGCAUGAAAAAAUUUUGCAGGCAGGUGAUGGAUAAAACGAAUAAUUUCUGACUAAUUUCUUUAAAGAGUGUCACACCAACUGUUCACAUGUUUAAUAAAUAAAUAAUUAUUUGUCACUUUUGAAUGUGUUCAAAAACCUUAUUUAAUUUUUAAUAUACGAUGUUUAAAAGAAUAAUGUGCAAUUCUAUACUCAAGUUCAGCUUUUCAGUAGAGGAUGUAUUAUUAAAAAUACUUUAUCACGCCGUGAAAG
rnacentral:ncRNA from 1 species